rnacentral:rRNA from 1 species
ACACGUCUACAUUAGAUACCCCUGUAGUCCCAGCCGUAAACAAUGUGCGUUAGGUAUGUCGGUAACCACGUGUUACUGAUGUGCCGAAGGGAAACCGUGAAACGUGCCGCCUGGGAAGUACGGUCGCAAGGCUGAAACUUAAAGGAAUUGGCGGGGGAGCACCACAACAGGUGGAGCCUGCGGUUUAAUUGGACUCAACGCCGGACAACUCACCGGGAACGACAGCAAUAUGUAGGCCAGGCUGAAGACCUUGCCUGAAUCGCUG